rnacentral:rRNA from 1 species
UACGAAGGGGGCUAGCGUUGCUCGGAAUUACUGGGCGUAAAGGGCGCGUAGGCGGAUGUUUAAGUCGGGGGUGAAAGCCCGGGGCUCAACCUCGGAAUUGCCUUCGAUACUGGACAUCUUGAGUACGGGAGAGGUGAGUGGAACUCCGAGUGUAGAGGUGAAAUUCGUAGAUAUUCGGACGAACACCGUGGCGAAGGCGACUCACUGGCCCGUAUGACUGCCGCUGAGGCGCGAAAGCGUGGGGAGCAAACAGG